UUUGAAAUCUGGCCCUCGGGUCCGAGUUGUAAUUUGCAGAGGAUGCUUCGGGCGAGGUGCCUUCCGAGUUCCCUGGAACGGGACGCCAUAGAGGGUGAGAGCCCCGUCUGGUUGGACACCGAGCCCGUGUGAAGCUCCUUCGAAGAGUCGAGUAGUUUGGGAAUGCUGCUCAAAAUGGGAGGUAUAUGUCUUCUAAAGCUAAAUAUUGGCCAGAGACCGAUAGCGCACAAGUAGAGUGAUCGAAAGAUGAAAAGCACUUUGAAAAGAGGGUUAAAAAGUACGUGAAAUUGUUGAAAGGGAAGCGCCCAUGACCAGACUUGGGCCCGGUGAAUCACCCGGCGUUCUCGCCGGUGCACUUUGCCGGGCACAGGCCAGCAUCAGUUUGGCGCGGGGGACAAAGGCUUCGGGAAUGUGGCUCCCUCGGGAGUGUUAUAGCCCGCUGCGCAAUACCCUGCGCCGGACUGAGGUACGCGCAUCGCAAGGAUGCUGGCGUAAUGGUCAUCAGCGACCCGUCUUGAAACACGGACCAAGGAGUCGUCUUCGUAUGCGAGUGUUCGGGUGUCAAACCCCUACGCGGAAUGAAAGUGAACGCAGGUGAGAGCUUCGGCGCAUCAUCGACCGAUCCUGAUGUUCUCGGAUGGAUUUGAGUAAGAGCAUACGGGGCCGGACCCGAAAGAAGGUGAACUAUGCCUGUGUAGGGUGAAGCCAGAGGAAACUCUGGUGGAAGCUCGCAGCGGUUCUGACGUGCGAAUCGAUCGUCAAACAUGGGCAUGGGGGCGAAAGACUAAUCGAACCUUCUAGUAGCUGGUUUC
rnacentral:rRNA from 1 species